CAGCUAGCUCAAUUACCCAAUAACUAAACAAUGUAAAUAAAACAAAAUAAGCCUAACACCAAAAAUUAAAUCAUUCUUUUACCUUAGUAUGGGCGACAGAAAAGGUUACACCCGGAGCAAUAGAAAAAGUACCGCAAGGGAAAGCUGAAAGAGAAAUGAAAUAACUUAUAUAAGCACCAAAAAGCAAAGAUUAAAUCUUGUACCUUUCGCAUCAUGAUUUAGCCAGUAUAUCCAAGCAAAGAGACCUUUAGUUUGAAACCCCGAAACCAAGUGAGCUACCCCGAGACAGCCUAUUAAGGGCCAACCCGUCUCUGUGGCAAAAGAGUGGGAAGAGCUCCGGGUAGAGGUGACAGACCUACCGAACUUGGUGAUAGCUGGUUGCCUAAGAAGUGAAUAGAAGUUCAGCCUCGUACUCCCUGAAUCAAAAGGUAUAAAAAGAUAUUAGAGGGAAAUAUAUGAGAGUUAGUUAAAGGGGGUACAGCCCCUUUAACAAAGGACACAACCUUUCCAGGAGGAUAAAGAUCAUAAUACAUAAGACAUCCUGUUCUAGUGGGCCUAAAGGCAGCCAUCUAAACAGAAAGCGUUAAAGCUCAGACAGAAAUAAGUUUAUUAUUCCGACAAGAAAUCUUACUCCCCUAAAUAUUAUUAGGCCAGCCCAUGCCCACAUGGGAGAGACUAUGCUAAAAUGAGUAACAAGAAGGCCAGCCCUUCUCCAAGCACAAGUGUAAGCCAAACCGGACCAACCAUUGGCAAUUAACGAACUCAACCCGAGAGAGUAAUGUGUAUUACAACAAAACCAGGAAGAACCCACAAUUAACCCAUCGUUACCCCCACACUGGUGUGCUAUUAAAGGAAAGACUAAAAGAAGGGAAAGGAACUCGGCAAACACAAGCCUCGCCUGUUUACCAAAAACAUCGCCUCCUGCAACACAACCAAGUAUAGGAGGUCCAGCCUGCCCAGUGACUACAAGUUCAACGGCCGCGGUAUUUUGACCGUGCAAAGGUAGCGCAAUCACUUGUCUCUUAAAUGGAGACCUGUAUGAAUGGCUAAACGAGGGCUUAACUGUCUCCCCCCUCCAGUCAGUGAAAUUGAUCU
rnacentral:rRNA from 1 species